rnacentral:rRNA from 1 species
GGGUUGUGAGGUUAAGCGACUAAGCGUACACGGUGGAUGCCCUGGCAGUCAGAGGCGAUGAAGGACGUGCUAAUCUGCGAAAAGCGUCGGUAAGGUGAUAUGAACCGUUAUAACCGGCGAUGUCCGAAUGGGGAAACCCAGUGCAAUUCGUUGCACUAUCGUUAACUGAAUACAUAGGUUAACGAGGCGAACCGGGGGAACUGAAACAUCUAAGUACCCCGAGGAAAAGAAAUCAACCGAGAUUCCCCCAGUAGCGGCGAGCGAACGGGGAGCAGCCCAGAGUCUGAAUCAGCUUGUGUGUUAGUGGAACGGUCUGGAAAGUCCGACGGUACAGGGUGAUAGUCCCGUACACCAAAAUGCACAGGCUGUGAACUCGAAGAGUAGGGCGGGACACGUGGUAUCCUGUCUGAAUAUGGGGGGACCAUCCUCCAAGGCUAAAUACUCCUGACUGACCGAUAGUGAACCAGUACCGUGAGGGAAAGGCGAAAAGAACCCCGGCGAGGGGAGUGAAAAAGAACCUGAAACCGUGUACGUACAAGCAGUGGGAGCACCUUCGGGUGUGACUGCGUACCUUUUGUAUAAUGGGUCAGCGACUUAUAUUCUGUAGCAAGGUUAACCGUAUAGGGGAGCCGCAGGGAAACCGAGUCUUAACUGGGCGUUAAGUUGCAGGGUAUAGACCCGAAACCCGGUGAUCUAGCCAUGGGCAGGUUGAAGGUUGGGUAACACUAACUGGAGGACCGAACCGACUAAUGUUGAAAAAUUAGCGGAUGACUUGUGGCUGGGGGUGAAAGGCCAAUCAAACCGGGAGAUAGCUGGUUCUCCCCGAAAGCUAUUUAGGUAGCGCCUCGUGAACUCAUCUUCGGGGGUAGAGCACUGUUUCGGCUAGGGGGUCAUCCCGACUUACCAACCCGAUGCAAACUACGAAUACCGAAGAAUGUUAUCACGGGAGACACACGGCGGGUGCUAACGUCCGUCGUGAAGAGGGAAACAACCCAGACCGCCAGCUAAGGUCCCAAAGUCAUGGUUAAGUGGGAAACGAUGUGGGAAGGCACAGACAGCCAGGAUGUUGGCUUAGAAGCAGCCAUCAUUUAAAGAAAGCGUAAUAGCUCACUGGUCGAGUCGGCCUGCGCGGAAGAUGUAACGGGGCUAAACCAUGCACCGAAGCUGCGGCAGCGACACUAUGUGUUGUUGGGUAGGGGAGCGUUCUGUAAGCCUGCGAAGGUGUGCUGUGAGGCAUGCUGGAGGUAUCAGAAGUGCGAAUGCUGACAUAAGUAACGAUAAAGCGGGUGAAAAGCCCGCUCGCCGGAAGACCAAGGGUUCCUGUCCAACGUUAAUCGGGGCAGGGUGAGUCGACCCCUAAGGCGAGGCCGAAAGGCGUAGUCGAUGGGAAACAGGUUAAUAUUCCUGUACUUGGUGUUACUGCGAAGGGGGGACGGAGAAGGCUAUGUUAGCCGGGCGACGGUUGUCCCGGUUUAAGCAUGUAGGCUGGUUAUCCAGGCAAAUCCGGAUAAUCAAGGCUGAGGUGUGAUGACGAGGCACUACGGUGCUGAAGUAACAAAUGCCCUGCUUCCAGGAAAAGCCUCUAAGCAUCAGGUAACAUCAAAUCGUACCCCAAACCGACACAGGUGGUCAGGUAGAGAAUACCAAGGCGCUUGAGAGAACUCGGGUGAAGGAACUAGGCAAAAUGGUGCCGUAACUUCGGGAGAAGGCACGCUGGUGUGUAGGUGAAGUCCCUGCGGAUGGAGCUGAGACCAGUCGAAGAUACCAGCUGGCUGCAACUGUUUAUUAAAAACACAGCACUGUGCAAACACGAAAGUGGACGUAUACGGUGUGACGCCUGCCCGGUGCCGGAAGGUUAAUUGAUGGGGUUAUCCGUAAGGAGAAGCUCUUGAUCGAAGCCCCGGUAAACGGCGGCCGUAACUAUAACGGUCCUAAGGUAGCGAAAUUCCUUGUCGGGUAAGUUCCGACCUGCACGAAUGGCGUAAUGAUGGCCAGGCUGUCUCCACCCGAGACUCAGUGAAAUUGAACUCGCUGUGAAGAUGCAGUGUACCCGCGGCAAGACGGAAAGACCCCGUGAACCUUUACUAUAGCUUGACACUGAACAUUGAGCCUUGAUGUGUAG